AUUCCCACGCAGAAUAAUCAAAGAGCCUUUGCGGCAUAGGGUUUUUCUGUAAACCUCGUAAGCUUAGUACCGAUGGCCACCGCCUCCGUCGCCAGAUCGAUCUUCCGAGCAACGUCCUCUCGCACCACCGCAACCGCCGGUCGAUUUUCCUCUCAAGCUAAAUCGGCUCCUUCUAUGUUUCGCUCCACCUCCAGAAGAAGCUCUCUUAUCCCCUCUCUUCGAUCUCCAGUCCAACUGAGCUUCUGUGCGGAGUCCAUGUUACCAUACCACACUGCCACAGCCUCAGCACUGAUGACUUCAAUGCUUUCAAUCUCUGGCUGUAGCUACGGAUGGCUCUCAGACGAGAUCUCGUGAAGGAAUCAUAACUGAUUGAUCUUAUACUGCUUCAGCUUGCAAUGAUGAUGUGUGAUGAAUUUGUCAAGGGGAUCACUGAAGCCACAGUUUAUCUUGCAAUGACGACUUAUGAAGGCGAAUCAUGGACAAGGUUUCAGAGAUUUUGGAUGAGAAACAAUGACAGAGAUGUAAAAUUCAGAACAUCUUCUUUGUUCAGAAGCCAUUUGUUGCGUUUAAUAAAAAAAAACCAUAAUAUGCAUUA